AUACGGAGGGUCCAAGCGUUAUCCGGAAUCAUUGGGUUUAAAGGGUCCGCAGGCGGUCAAUUAAGUCAGAGGUGAAAGCCCAUCGCUCAACGAUGGAACUGCCUUUGAUACUGGUUGACUUGAGUUAUACGGAAGUAGAUAGAAUAAGUAGUGUAGCGGUGAAAUGCAUAGAUAUUACUUAGAAUACCGAUUGCGAAGGCAGUCUACUACGUAUAUACUGACGCUGAGGGACGAAAGCGUGGGGAGCAAACAGGAUUAGAAACCCCUGUAGUCC
rnacentral:rRNA from 1 species